GUGGAUCACUCCUAUUGACUAGUACAGUAUUUCUUUUAUGGGAUCAUGUGAGUUAGUGCUUCCAGAAUGGGGCUGAAACUUGAUUUGGGGUGAUUCUGACAUAUCAGACACAGAACUCUGGGUUCAGGGCUCUGGGUUAACCACUGACCCUUGGGCUUGAGCCAUACGCGUGGGCCAGUGUGUCACCUCUCCCUUGUCUGUGGUCCGACUGCAGCUCUGCUCUGUCUGUUAACACCCUACCCCUUUUGCAGUCCUCACACAAUGAGGGAGACAGUAGCCCAGAGGUGGGCAAGCCUAUGUCCUCCAAGGGCACUGUUGCCCAGCUGCACCAAGUGGCUCUUUCGACGGAUGACUCAUUGAUAUGGCUCUUUUUGAGCCAACAGGAAAAAUCUCUCCUGAGACCAUCUAAUGAUAUGCGUAAGAACAACAGCUCAUUUCCAGGCAGACAUGUGAUUCAACUUCUGAGGUCAGAGUGGCCCAGUGCAGCAACAGUCAUCAAAAUAAAAGAUGCUGUGUAACACUCCAUAGUCUCCCUAUCCAAAAA
rnacentral:lncRNA from 1 species